rnacentral:tRNA from 1 species
GCUCAGGUGGUGGAAUGGUAGACACACACGUUUGAGGUGCGUGUGCUGAAAGGCGUGGGGGUUCGAGUCCCCUCUUGAGCACCA